GACGAACGCUGGCGGCGUGCUUAACACAUGCAAGUCGUACGGUAAGGCCCUUUCGGGGGUACACGAGUGGCGAACGGGUGAGUAACACGUGAGUAACCUGCCCACAACUUUGGGAUAACGCUAGGAAACUGGUGCUAAUACUGGAUAUGUGCUCCUGCUGCAUGGUGGGGGUUGGAAAGCUCCGGCGGUUGUGGAUGGACUCGCGGCCUAUCAGCUUGUUGGUGGGGUAGUGGCCUACCAAGGCGGCGACGGGUAGCCGGCCUGAGAGGGUGACCGGCCACAUUGGGACUGAGAUACGGCCCAGACUCCUACGGGAGGCAGCAGUGGGGAAUAUUGCACAAUGGGCGCAAGCCUGAAGCAGCAACGCCGCGUGCGGGAUGACGGCCUUCGGGUUGUAAACCGCUUUCAGCAGGGACGAAGCUUUUUGUGGCGGUACCUGCAGAAGAAGCACCGGCUAACUACGUG
rnacentral:rRNA from 1 species